rnacentral:misc_RNA from 1 species
GUUGGGCCUGUGGACUGGAGUUGGGUGCCUUUGUUUUUUCCCCUCCUAUUGUCAAGUUGCCUCUAAUGCGUGGUUUUACUAGAAUUUGACUGAAAAGCUGCAACAAUAAUAUUUUCAAUGAAUUUUAAUGUUCCUUUCUAAAAUCAAACAUAUAUUAUUUGACUUGUUUUUAAAGUAGUUUUCAGCUUGCAAUCAGUAUAAUUGUAUGUCUUAGAAAAUUUUGCAU